rnacentral:rRNA from 1 species
AGAGUUUGAUCAUGGCUCAGGACGAACGCUGGCGGCGUGCUUAACACAUGCAAGUCACGGGGGUCCGCAAGGGCAACCGGCGAACGGGUGCGUAACACGUGAGCAACCUACCUCGAUGUGGGGGAUAGCCGGCCCAACGGCCGGGUAAUACCGCAUACGAUUCUUUGGGGGAGUCCCCAGGGAAGGAAACCUCCGGGGCAUUGAGAGGGGCUCGCGGCCUAUCAGCUAGUUGGCGAGGUAACGGCUCACCAAGGCGACGACGGGUAGCUGGUCUGAGAGGAUGGCCAGCCACAUUGGGACUGAGAGACGGCCCAGACUCCUACGGGAGGCAGCAGUGGGGAAUCUUGCGCAAUGGCCGAAAGGCUGACGCAGCGACGCCGCGUGUGGGAUGAAGCAUUUCGGUGUGUAAACCACUGUUGCCCGGGACGAACAGCUUCUUUCGAGGAGCCUGACGGUACCGGGUGAGGAAGCACCGGCUAACUCCGUGCCAGCAGCCGCGGUAAUACGGAGGGUGCGAGCGUUGUCCGGAAUCACUGGGCGUAAAGGGCGCGUAGGCGGCGCGGAUAGUCAACGGUGAAAGCUUGGGGCUCAACCCCGAGUCGGCCGUCGAUACUUCCGCGCUUGAGCACUGUAGAGGCAGGUGGAAUUCCGGGUGUAGCGGUGGAAUGCAGAGAUCCGGAAGAACACCGGUGGCGAAGGCGGCCUGCUGGGCAGUAGCUGACGCUGAGGCGCGACAGCGUGGGGAGCAAACAGGAUUAGAUACCCUAGUAGUCC